UACGGGGGGGAGCAAGCGUUGUUCGGAUUUACUGGGCGUAAAGGGCGCGUAGGCGGCCAGCACAAGUCAGUUGUGAAAUCUCCGAGCUUAACUCGGAAAGGUCAACUGAUACUGUGCGGCUAGAGUGCGGAAGGGGCAACUGGAAUUCUUGGUGUAGCGGUGAAAUGCGUAGAUAUCAAGAGGAACACCUGCGGCGAAGGCGGGUUGCUGGGCUGAUACUGACGCUGAGGCGCGAAAGCCAGGGGAGCGAACGGG
rnacentral:rRNA from 1 species